GGCUCAGAUUGAACGCUGGCGGCGUGGCUGAAGCAUGCAAGUCGAGCGAACCCGCAAGGGUGAGCGGCGGACGGGUUAGUAAUACGAUCGAACGUACCCCGAGGCGGGGGAUAGGCAUGGGAAACUGUGCGUAAUACCCCAUAAUCUCUCCGGAGCAAAGGUCUACCACCUUGGGAUCGGCGAUCGUCCUAUCAGCUAGUUGGCGGGGUAACGGCCCACCAAGGCGAUGACGGGUAGCAGGUGUGAGAGCACGACCUGCAACAUCGGGACUGAGACACUGCCCGGACUCCUACGGGAGGCUGCAGCGACGAAUCUUCCGCAAUGGGCGCAAGCCUGACGGAGCGACGCCGCGUGUGGGAUGAAGCGCCUUCGGCGUGUAAACCACUGUCAGGGAACAGAACCAAUGAUCGUUCCCAAAGGAAGAGACGGCUAACCCUGUGCCAGCAGCCGCGGUAAGACAGGGGUCUCGAGCGUUAAUCGGAAUUACUGGGCUUAAAGGGUGCGUAGGCCGGCCCGCAAGUGCUUUGUGAAAUCCCCCGGCUCAACCGGGGAACUGCUAGGCAUACUGCGGGUCUUGAGGAAGGUAGGGGUUGCCAGAACUGUAGGUGGAGCGGUGAAAUGCGUAGAUAUCUACAGGAAUGCCGAUGGUGAAGACGGGCAACUGGGCCUUUCCUGACGCUGAGGCACGAAAGCGUGGGGAGCAAACAGGAUUAGAUACCCUGGUAGUCCACGCCGUAAACGAUGCGCGCUAGAUCGGGGCGGCUCUGACGCCGGCUCGGUCGAAGAAAAAUCGAUAAGCGCGCCGCCUGGGGAGUACG
rnacentral:rRNA from 1 species